AAAAGAGCUCGCCUUUCUAAUGAAGAGUCUCACGCUGGUGAGCGACCACCAGGAGCAGCUGCUCUUCCCCGAAGCUCCCAUGAACACGCCAUGGUCGUCGCUCUAGAGACUUUCUCUAAAUUCAUGAAAUUCCUGACGGCCAUGGCGAAGAUGCAGUGCUCCUGCCGGGACUGCCGCUCUUAAAAAAAAA